rnacentral:lncRNA from 1 species
GCUCACCAGCUGGGCUGUCCCUGCCCUUCCCGAGCGGCCACGGAUGCCCACGUGUGUGGGGGAGAGGCUGAGCGCCCGUGGUCCGUAGGGAGCAGCAGGCACCCCCCACCCCUGCAUUUGCAGAGUAGAAGCUGAUGACCCGGGCACGCGGGGCCUCGUCUGCCUCUCCGGUCACCCACCUCGACUUCCUCUGCCAUGUGGCUGGUGGGUGGACGUGGCCAAGUGCUCCCGGAGGCUGCGUGUGGGUCCUCUCUUCUCGGACAGAGGGGUGUCGGACCCGGGGGCUCUGUGGCCUUAGGGUACGUGCCCUUCCUUCUGGGCUGUGUGGGGGGUCACUCCAUCCACCCUUGGGGACACGCGGGGCCUUCCACCAGGCCAGCAGCAUCACGGCCCCUCUCAUGGGGGCGCCCCCCGCUGGGCGCCCCCCACCCCAUCCCACCCCACUCUGGCCGUGUAACCAGAGCCGCGGCGCAGGGAGCCUGGCCCGGGCCGGAUCGCACAGGUAUCAGCUCACCGCCUGGGUCCCGUUUCCCUUCACACGAGGGCGGCUAACAAUGGCCGACAGUCCCCACAGGGGGCCCGGCCCCCCGCCCAGGGAGAGGCCCUGGAGAGCUAUCGGGCCACACGAUCUCGCCCCUUGGAGAGGCGGCCCUCCCCUGCCGACAGGGCGCACAAACGGGGCCUUCAGCGGCUGCCAGCGCCCGGGGAGCGGCCGGAACCGGCCCCCGUGCCAGCCAGGCCGCGCGGCUGCCUCUUCCCCUCCGUGUGAACCUGCCCCCCCCACACCUGGGCCUGGGUUUCACCCCGUGAAAGCCCUUUGUUCCCAGACCUGGACGAAACUGGGCCCUGCCGGGCGAGGGGCUGCCCGCCUCUGCCCACGGAGCCCGCUGCCCCCCGAGGGCCCUCGGACCUCAGCCGGCGGGCUGGGGCAGCAGGUCCAGGAGGCAGGCGGGGUCAGGGGGUGGGGGUACUGCUGGGCGAGGGGGGGCGAGGCUGCUGUCGCCUCAGGUGGCCUUGAAUUUGUUGUCUCUUUCCUGCCCCCCGCACGCCGGGCUCCUUUGCUCUAG